rnacentral:tRNA from 1 species
GGUAGCGUGCCCGAGCAGGGACUACACUGAUAGAGUAGACACGGAGCCAAUUACUCCCGCCACCC